AACGGCUCACCAAGGCGACGAAUACAUAGCCGACCUGAGAGGGUGAUCGGCCACACUGGGACUGAGACACGGCCCAGACUCCUACGGGAGGCAGCAGUAGGGAAUCUUCGGCAAUGGACGGAAGUCUGACCGAGCAACGCCGCGUGAGUGAAGAAGGUUUUCGGAUCGUAAAGCUCUGUUGUAAGAGAAGAACGAGUGUGAGAGUGGAAAGUUCACACUGUGACGGUAUCUUACCAGAAAGGGACGGCUAACUACGUGCCAGCAGCCGCGGUAAUACGUAGGUCCCGAGCGUUGUCCGGAUUUAUUGGGCGUAAAGCGAGCGCAGGCGGUUAGAUAAGUCUGAAGUUAAAGGCUGUGGCUUAACCAUAGUACCGCUUUGGAAACUGUUUAACUUGAGUGCAAGAAGGGGAGAGUGGAAUUCCAUGUGUUAGCGGUGAAAUGCGUAGAUAUUAUGGAGGAACACCCGGUGGGCGAAAGCGGCUCUCUGGGCUUGUAACUGACGCUUAAAGCUCGAAAGCGUGGGGGAGCAAACCAGGAUUAGAUACCCCUGGUAGUCCACGCCCGUAAACGAUGAGUGCUUAGGUGUUAGACCCCUUUCCGGGGGUUUAGUGCCGUAGCCUAACGCAUUAAGCACUCCCCCCUGGGGGAGUACGACCCGCAAGGUUGAAAACUCAAAGGAAAUUGACGGGGGGCCCGCACCAAGCGGUGGAGCCAUGUGGGUUUAAUUCGAAACCAACGCGAAAAAACCUUACCAGGUCUUUGACAUCCCUCU
rnacentral:rRNA from 1 species